GUAGGUGGCAAGCGUUGUCCGGAAUUAUUGGGGCGUAAAGCGCGCGCAGGCGGUUCUUUAAGUCUGAUGUGAAAGCCCACGGGCUCAACCGUGGAGGGUCAUUGGAAACUGGAGAACUUGAGUACAGAAGAGGAAAGCGGAAUUCCACGUGUAGCGGUGAAAUGCGUAGAGAUGUGGAGGAACACCAGUGGCGAAGGCGGCUUUCUGGUCUGUAACUGACGCUGAGGCGCGAAAGCGUGGGGAGCAAACAGGAUUAGAUACCCUGGUAGUCCACGCCGUAAACGAUGAGUGCUAAGUGUUAGGGGGUUUCCGCCCCUUAGUGCUGCAGCUAACGCAUUAAGCACUCCGCCUGGGGAGGACGGCCGCAAAGGCUG
rnacentral:rRNA from 1 species